rnacentral:rRNA from 1 species
CCUACGGGAGGCAGCAGUGGGGAAUUUUGCGCAAUGGGCGAAAGCCUGACGCAGCAACGCCGCGUGAGUGAUGAGGGCCUUCGGGUCGUAAAGCUCUGUCAGAGGGGAAGAACCACCUGCCGGUCAAUAUCCGGCAGGCCUGACGGUACCCUCAAAGGAAGCACCGGCUAACUCCGUGCCAGCAGCCGCGGUAAU